GAAGGAGUGUGUGUGAGAGCUCCACAGAGAAGCUGGCACUGCUUGCUCUUCAGGCAGGUCUGAAUCCUUCUCGUCACCCAACAUAUGCCAAUCUGUGACUGUCUUGAACUUCCAAAAUCCGCUCUCUAGCCUUGUGCCUUUCUUCAGCACUUGCCAUACAUCACGGGGCUGUAUUUACACAGGAACAAAGGUUGUGAAAGGAACAGGUAAAUUCUAUGUGCACACCUGGACUGCAAACAGAAACAUCAGC